UAUAUAUACAUGGGCAGGCUAUAGCUUUGUAACGUCGUGUGGCAAGAAAAUAGAAAAGCAAUAAAGAGGAAAAUAGAGGGCACGACAUGGGCCCUUGGCUAUCAGUUUUUGUGUGCGCGUGUUCGUCGUGAUUUGAUGUGAUCGAUCCUGAGGGCGAAUUUCCAACAAUUGGUAUCUAGAGCAAGGUUCAGGUGUCUAGCGCUUGCCCCGGGAUUGCGACCCGACUAGCGCCUCGGGGUGGGCGAUGAAGUUGCUGGCUGGUGCAGCGACACGAAGGAUCAAGCGACCAUCGUUCUGUGGAGCGACAAGGAGGAAUGCGGCAGGCUGUCGUCAGCAUAGUGAUGGAAGAUGAUCGUUGAUGGGAGCGGUGGUGCCGAGGUGCGGCGCUGGAGCUCAUCAAGAUCAUCGUCCGGGGGAGUCAGAUGAGUGAAGGAGUCGUGCGAGUUUGCACGAUCAGUCGUCGUUGCGUCUGUGAGUCGUCGUCGUGUCCAAGUGCUCAUCUUGGUGAUGAUUCGUUGGAGUGGAAGCGGUUUGCACGAUGUUCCGUGAGUCAUGUCCACGUCCCCGUGGAGCGUCCUGGUUGCGGCUAGUGUGGAUUCGGUGUGAUGCCGAAGGCGGACGGUGGUAGGCGAAGCCAUCGUAAAGCGAGGAGGUGUGCGAGCAAUGGAGAGUGGAUCUAUUGCAAGCAAGUACAAGGAGUAUGGUGCGAACCGAGUGCAAGGCAGCGGCCAAGCAAUGACGGUGGCACAACAUGGCUGCGCAAGGAGGCACUGCAUGUUUCCAGGCGGGUCAUAGUCAGCGUACAAACAUGACAUGUUUAGUCGAGUCAUAAAUGUGGUAAGUUUGGAUUAGGGAGAGCUUGUUAGAGAUUAAUCCAAAUUACGUAUUAGAGUUGGAGACGUGGCUUGCAUGCCAACGUGAGGGCAUGUAGUAGGAGUCCGGUUUGGAUUAGAGUUUAUUUGGCGUGUCUAGUAUAGACAAUACUAGUAUGAGUCUGAUUAGAAUAUAGAGUCGGAUUAGGAUAGAGUUGAACGUGAUGGCUUGGUCAGACGUGUAUAUAUACAUGGGCAGGCUAUAGCUUUGUAACGUCGUGUGGCAAGAAAAUAGAAAAGCAAUAAAGAGGAAAAUAGAGGGCACGACAUGGGCCCUUGGCUAUCAGUUUUUGUGUGCGCGUGUUCGUCGUGAUUUGAUGUGAUCGAUCCUAAGGGCGAAUUUCCAACAAUUGGUAUCUAGAGCAAGGUUCAGGUGUCUAGCGCUUGCCCCGGGGUUGCGACCCGACUAGCGCCUCGGGGCGGGCGAUGAAGUUGCUGGAUGGUGCAGCGACACGAAGGAUCAAGCGACCAUCGUUCUGUGGAGCGACAAGGAGGGAUGCGGCAUGCUAUCGUCAGCAUAGUGAUGGAAGAUGAUCGUUGAUGGGAGCGGUGGUGCCGAGGUGCGGCGCUGGAGCUCAUCAAGAUCAUCGUCCGGGGGAGUCAGAUGAGUGAAGGAGUCGUGCGAGUUUGCACGAUCAGUCGUCGUUGCGUCUGUGAGUCGUCGUCGUGUCCAAGUGCUCAUCUUGGUGAUGAUUCGUUGGAGUGGAAGCGGUUUGCACGGUGUUCCGUGAGUCAUGUCCACGUCCCCGUGGAGCUUCCUGGUUGCGGCCAGUGUGGAUUCGGUGUGAUGCCGAAGGCGGACGGUGGUAGGCGAAGCCAUCGUAAAGCGAGGAGGUGUGCGAGCAAUGGAGAGUGGAUCUAUUGCAAGCAAGUACAAGGAGUAUGGUGCGAACCGAGUGCAAGGCAGCGGCCAAGCAAUGACGGUGGCACAACAUGGCUGGGCAAGGAGGCACUGCAUGUUUACAGGCGGGUCAUACUCAGCAUACAGACAUGACAUGUUUAGUCGAGUCGUAGAUGUGGUAAGUUUGGAUUAGGGAAAGAUUGUUAGAGAUUAAUCCAAAUUACGUAUUAGAGUUGGAGACAUGGCUUGCAUGCCAACGUGAGGGCAUGUAGUAGGAGUCCGGUUUGGAUUAGAGUUUAUUUGGCGUGUCUAGUAUAGGCAAUACUAAUAUGAGUCUGAUUAGAAUAUAGAGUCGGAUUAGGAUAGAGUUGAGCGUGAUGGCUUGGUCAGACGUGUAUAUAUACAUGGGCAGGCUAUAGCUUUAUAACGUCGUGUGGCAAGAAAAUAGAAAAGCAAUAAAGAGGAAAAUAGAGGGCACGACAUGGGCUCUUGGCUAUCAGUUUUUGUGUGCGUGUGUUCGUCGUGAUUUGAUAUAAUCGAUCUUGAGGGCGAAUUUCCAACACAGCUGACAUCCACGCCCGUCGGGUUAUAGCGGCGGUGCUGCAACGGGAAUGCUUGGCGCCACGACGGAGCCUGCCUGCCUGGCGAUGGGUGGGAGUCGGAUAGGCACGCGGCGGCGGUGGUUCGGUCGCGGAGGGCCGGAGGCGGCUCCGGCAGUCCCCAUGGCGUCGCCGCUGCAGUGCUUCCAUUCCGGCGGCAUCGUCGGUCUGUUCAAGACGGGGUUCGUACAUAGGGGUGGCCAGCCGAACAAGACAGUGGCAUGGUACGAAGUCGUUGUUCCUCCUUUCCCCCAACGGAUUACUGGGAAGACGAAGCAGUGGCCCUCUUUCCUCACCGUCGGUGCAGUUUUGCUGUCUAAUCAACUUGUCGGCACCUUAGAAAGGUACACAGCCAGAGAGGCAUCACUCUUCUACGCCGAGCAUGCCGACAGGAGCUUCUUCAACAGUUUGGUGAAGUACACCAUUUUGGGUAUGUAUAAGCCAACAUUGAAUAUUCGUACAUAGCCUGCCAUGGUUCAUAUCAAGUGAAAAGUAACUUUGCAUGAUUAUAGACAACUAUAUACAAUUGUUACUAUAUUAAUGUGUCUUUAUGGGUCAUCUUUUUGUGUUUUUGUUGCCACGGUAAACUUUGAUAUAUAUCAUGUGAUCCUUUCACCACUAUUUUUUAUAAUAUAGCAAUUCUUAAUUUCACCAUGAAAUGAAAUAGCUAAAUCUUUGAUACUGCUUAUGUUGAAUAUUCUUAUAUUGCAACACUGUUUUCAUUUAAAAAAAUAUUGUUGUUAAUGUUGGACUGCUUGCAUUUCCAGCCUGAAGAUAGCAUAUCUUAUUUAGAAUGAUGCACUUCAUUUGUUAGAAAUGUAUUGUUAGUAUUUCUAUCUAAUAUAUUCAUCAUAUCUACACAUCUGUUUAUUCAUUCUAGGAGCUCUGGUUAUCAUAGUUUUGAAAUGAGCUGAUCUGAUAUAAGAGCUCUUGCAUAUUUGUGAACAGAUACACAGUAAUACGAAAAACUUAUUCUAGUUGUUUCUUUCCAUGUUGGUGGCCAUCACCUACACGAACAAUUUUCUGAGAGACCAAAGGAGCCAAAAGAUGAAGUUCAGAUCUACACAUGGAAACAUGACACACUGUGGGAGCUCAUUGAUCUCGUAAUAUUUCAUAUUAUACUUUUGACUUCAUAAAAUACCAUGGCUGUGUGACAGUUAUAAUAAGGGCUCGGGCAUGUCAAUCACAUCCCAAGUGCUAUGGAUGAUAGUCUAAUAAGCACAAUUGUUAUGAUUAUCAGGAUUUAGUGGUUGCCCUUCUAGCAAGGAAAAUAAAUGCAAUGUUAUCUUUUG